GUGAAAUUCUUGGAUUUACUCAAGACUAACUACUGCGAAAGCAUUUGCCAAGGACGCUUUCAUUGAUCAAGAACGAAGGUCGGGGGAUCGAAAACGAUUAGAUACCGUUGUAGUCUUAACAGUAAACUAUGCCGACUCCGAAUCGGUCGAUGCUCAUUUCACUGGCUCGAUCGGCGCGGUACGAGAAAUCAAAGUUUUUGGG
rnacentral:rRNA from 1 species